rnacentral:lncRNA from 1 species
CUUGAUUUUUUUUAGAUCUAAAUUUGAAUUGUGAAAUCUAAUAAAAAAGAAAAAUUUUCAAUCGCCUUCGAUCCUAGAUUCUUAAAAUUAAAGGGACAGCUGUAUAUGCUAGGAAGUCCACCUACUUUAAUCGAUGCUUUUCUUCCUUAAAAAUUUAGAUCUUAUUAGAUUUGCUACUAUAUAUUAUUUGAUUGUAGAAAAGGAAGAAGAAGUUAGUUGCGUCUUCAUCUGCAUACCCAUCCCGCAUCAAUAACCCAUCCAAUGAAGAUAGGAGCCAAAACUCAUCAAGAGGAAGAGGAAGAAAAAAGAGGAAAUAAUUCUAGAACAAAUGAGAGAAGGUAUGACAAGUCUCAACCAAAAUGUUACCAUUGCCAUAAGUAUAAUCAUUAUUUGGGGAAAUGUCGCAAUACUUUUAAUUUUGAAGAGAAGGCAAACCUUGUUGGUGGAAGAGGUGGA